rnacentral:lncRNA from 1 species
UUUAAAAAUGUUUGGUUCACAGCCUUCACUGGAUUACCUAUUGGAGCAAACAAAGUGUAACCAUGUAAAACCUGUGAGCUUGUAUUGAUAUCUCAUGGCUAGAGUUCCAAGCGAAUGGGUCUCAUGAGAUCUGAUGGUUUUGAAAAUGGGAGUUGCCCUGCACAAGCUCUCCUUUUGCCUGCUGCCAUCCACAUAAGAUGUGAUUUGCUCUUCCUUGCCUUCCACCAUGAUUGUGAGGCCUUCCCAGCAUGUGGAAAUUUGCAGGAAUUUAGCCAAUUCAGAGGUCUUGUUCUCCAUAAUUUGGAAUUUUCCUUCGGAUUUGAUCAAGUUGGAUAGAGUUGGUCAAACCCAAUGGGAAAAAGAUGAAAACAACAAGAAACAGAAACAAACAGCAACAACAACAACAACAAAAACAAUGCAUUUAAUUAAAUGAAGAUGAGCUCAUGCUGGAGUAGGGUGGACUCUGAACCCAGUGGGACAAGCGUCCUUAUUAAGAAGAGGGAAAUCUGGACACACACAGAGCAGAGACCGCCGUGUGAAGAUGGAGGCAGAGAUCGGAGAGAUGCUGCCACACGCCACAAAUGCCUGGGGCUCCCAGAAACUACACGGAGCCUCCCCCAGCGGCUUCAGCAGGAGCAUGGCUCGGCCAACACUUUGAUCUUGGUCUUCCAGCCUCCAGAACGUUUUCCUAAAAUUCCCUUUUCCACUGGUGUGUGGUGCAAGAUGAGGCACAUUUUCCAUGGAUGGUGAACAGAGGGAGGAGCCUUUUGAUCACAACCAGGUCACCCCACUUCUAAGCCACUGUGCCUCCAGCCCCACAAGACUAAGGAGAGAGAGCGCAGCGUGGUGGAGAGUGAGCUGUGCUGGGACCAUUGUUUCCGUAACCUCGUUUUCUGUGUCCAGCUGACACACCUUCAAAGUGGCAUCAGGUCCUAAACUGUAGCUUGCAAUGUGCCUGUUUCCAGAAACCAAGGUGAAAGUGCUUUUAGACAGUGUUCCCAUGCAAGAGUCCCUUCCCAGCUUUUUUCUGGAAAUGCAUGUUUCUCUGAACUCUGAGUCCCAAGAAAAAUCACUUGAGACACCAAGAAAAUGGGGGAAGUGCUAAAAUUGUGUGGGAAUUCAAGCUUAACAAUAAACAUCAAGACAUUUUUGAUAAAAAUGAAUCCACUGACAUCGGGGAGGAGCAAGAGAACAGCACGCUGACACUGGGUCAGAGGCUAAGACCGACAUUUCUGGGAACCACUCCCGGAAGGGCACAGAGGAGACGCUUUCAGCCUCUCAUCAGCCAGCCUGGCCUGUAGCUGCUGCACGUUAUGAGUGUGUUCCUGGCAUGACUGCUUCUAACAGCGACCAUUUCAUUAAGUUUUUAAGUGCCUGGUAAUUGCUUGGUUAUGACCGGUGUCUGCUCCAUGGCAGCCUCUUCCUGAAGAAAUGCUGAGGCAGUGUCACGCUGGUGUCUGUCCUCCUUACAGAAUGCCUGAACAGUUCCAUUGACUCAAAGUGAAGAUCAAAAGAACCAAAUGACAGCAAUAGCCAAGUGUAAUCAUCAGUAACCCUGUGUUCUAUCCACAGGUAAAAAACAAUCAUCCUCUUCAUUAUGGGUUUCAAUUUUAAAUGUAAUACAUUUUUAGAAAUGCCUAUUUCCUUUUAUAAUCUCUUUAUAUAAUCUAGGUUAUUCUGGCUCUUAGGUCUUCAUUUAGCUACUGAAAAGAUUUGAUCUCAAAUCAAUGAUCUAACCACCCAUGACCAUCUCCCACCUCUCUCCCCGUACACCCCCCAGCAUGAAUUCUGGGAACUCAGGUAAAAUGCUUUCUGGAAACCUGCCUGUAUUAGUCUGUUGUCAAGCUGCUAAUAAACACAUACCCGAAACUGGGUAGUUUAUAAAGG